rnacentral:rRNA from 2 species
CAUCCUCCAAGGCUAAAUACUCCUGACUGACCGAUAGUGAACCAGUACCGUGAGGGAAAGGCGAAAAGAACCCCGGCGAGGGGAGUGAAAAAGAACCUGAAACCGUGUACGUACAAGCAGUGGGAGCCCCACCACCAAAGCGUUUCGCUUUGUGUGGUGCACAAAGAAGCGUAACGACAGCACUGAAUGACGGUUAACGGAGCGCAAGCGACGUUCAACAUACAAAGUCAAGCAGUGGAGCGCUUUGGGGUGGGGUGACUGCGUACCUUUUGUAUAAUGGGUCAGCGACUUAUAUUCUGUAGCAAGGUUAACCGAAUAGGGGAGCCGGAGGGAAACCGAGUCUUAACCGGGCGUUAAGUUGCAGGGUAUAGACCCGAAACCCGGUGAUCUAGCCAUGGGCAGGUUGAAGGUUGGGUAACACUAACUGGAGGACCGAACCGACUAAUGUUGAAAAAUUAGCGGAUGACCUGUGGCU